ACAGUGGACGCGAGCAUCUGUGGCCAAGUUUUUAAGGGCGCACGGUGGAUGCCUUGGCAC
rnacentral:rRNA from 1 species